rnacentral:rRNA from 1 species
UACGAAGGGGGGCUAGCGUUGUUCGGAAUUACUGGGCGUAAAGCGCACGUAGGCGGAUAUUUAAGUCAGGGGUGAAAUCCCAGAGCUCAACUCUGGAACUGCCUUUGAUACUGGGUAUCUUGAGUAUGGAAGAGGUAAGUGGAAUUCCGAGUGUAGAGGUGAAAUUCGUAGAUAUUCGGAGGAACACCAGUGGCGAAGGCGGCUUACUGGUCCAUUACUGGACGCUGAGGUGCGAAAGCGUGGGGAGCA